rnacentral:lncRNA from 1 species
AAAAUCAUCAGGCAUUUGAACGAGAGAGAAAAGUUGCCAUUGUUUUGCCUCAGUUGCAUAAAAAUGGGGAGGAGUGAGAGCAAGAAGCACUCAUAGCUUGCAUCUGAAGCCAUUGCAGCUCCGGUAGCUUUGCGUUGCUAUGGGGAGAGCUGGGCCUGCCCGGGCAGGGAGCCCAUCAGCCAUCAAUAAGCUGUGACCUGGCAUUUGUGUUGACUAUAGAAACCUGGGGAGAAGGGGCCAUUUUGUGCUGGAUCUAGAGAAGGAGACCAGAGCUUUUCCUACUGUGGAGGGCAGCAGCUUUGGGAUGGUCAGUGAGUCCAGAGUUCACAGGUGAUUUAUUCUUGAGAAGGAGCAACAUGGAUGAAGUAUACCACAUCUCUUCCACUGAGAAGGUCCAGCAGCUGGAAAGAGAACUAGCAGCACAGCUGGCAGAGCUGAAGGCACAAAUAGAAGACAAUGGGGUACUUCAGGGAACACCAAACAGGGCAUACAGUUCUGUUCCAAUUCCAAAAGAUGCAAUUUAUUUCAGAAGAGAAAGAGAGAGAGUACUGAAGAAAGUCUUACAGGUAGGUAGCUACAGUUUACACUAGCUUAAGAAAAUCACUUUGCUCUUAGGAUCAUAGAACAGAUUGAAUUGGAAGGGACCUUUAAAGGCUGUAUAGUCCAACUCCACUGCAAUGAACAGGGACACCCAUAGCUAGAUCAGAGUGCUCAGAGCCCCAUCCAGCCUGGCACUGAAUAUAGCAAAAGAUGGGGUGUCUUUGCACCUCACCAGGCAACCAGUUCCAGUGCUUCACCACCCUUACUGUAAAAAACUUCCUUAUAUCCGACCUAAAUCUCCCUUCUUUUAGUUUGAAACCAUUUCCCUUGACUUCUCUUUAUUUAACGCUAUUUCUUUCCAACGGCCUGAAAAGGAUGUCUGCUCACCACCCGCUGUUUGCAGGUGGCGGAAGCGAAGCCUCUUGUUAUUCAGGCUGAUGUCAUGCAGAGGGAGUUAGAGAGCUGCUGGAGAAGGGAGUACACGGCAUCAAGCUUGCCGCUGCUGCUGCAUCAGUUUUUUACAGACAGAAUCACUCAGCUGGUCCAGAGUAAAUAUCUGCACAUGCUCAGAUGGAAGAGAUUUUGUACACACAGCAGUGUUAUUGAGCAGCUUUAUCCUCUCUACCAGAAGCAAGUUAGUCACAUCAUGGAUGAAUACAACGAUGCAGUUCAGAGGGCUUCAAGGCUUUCAGCUGCAAGGGAGAACUUCCUGACAGGAAAGAAAAAUCCAAUGAGUUUAGUGACACAGGAAGAUCUGAUGAUUUACACCCAAUGGUUAGUGUGCCACCUACACUCUCUGAAGGGCAUUCACCGUUUUCUCCAGGUUCUCCAGCAUUUGCCCAUUUCUCACAAACUGAGCAUGGCUGAUGAGAAAUGUCCUGAUGUGAUCCAAGACAAAUGGGACAAGUUAAGGAGUGCAUUUGACAGAAAUUCAGAUGUUUUUAAUACUGAUGUGUUUCACUGUUCAAAAUUUUUAAGAAAUGGUGAGAAAUGAUCAGCUUUCUUUUAGAAAUCCUAUGGGUAAUGUAUUUGCUUAUGUAUAUGCUUUGAGGCAGGUCAGCAGUGCAAAUCUGGGAAACACUAAAUGCUGUCUUCGGGUUGUAUGCUUGCGAAAUGUAGAGCGUGGCUUCUACAGUCAGCAAGAAUCCUGGAAAUCUAGUGCCCAGACUCCAAGAGAUACAGCCUUAUAUCUGUGGCAGUCCCUCCUCUGGCCUUGCUGUACACUGGGCUGCAGAAACAGGCAGUUUAUAUGAAUACUUGUGGGAUCGGCUCAAUGGAGAACUCAGGAUGUUGUCCUGAUUAUGCCAAACCCUGAAACUCCCCCUUUCUAACUUCCUGCAAAAAAUAUUAUUCAAAAUAUUUCAGUGGGCGGCUGGUUUCUGGAGAAACCAAAACAAGAAAUGUUGUUUCGAGACACUUAAUGAAGUAUCUCCAGAAGUAUCUCAUUGGGGUUAGUUUCAAGCUCCCUUUCCUUUUGGAUGAAGGGAGGAAGUGAUACUGUUUGUAUAGAGUUAUCCAUGCGAACAGUACUUAAAACAGCAUUUGUGUUAAAGAGAAAAUGCAGCCUCUGCUUCUCUCCUGGGGCUGAGGCACACUGUUUGCCUCCAGAAUGUGGGCUUGUAGGUCUGCAAGGGCCUAAGAGUGGCAUCUGAGGGAGAGCAAUGUUGUAGGGGAUGUAAUGGAGCAUAAUGCUAAGGAAAAUGUACAUAAGGAUAAGGGGCCUUCAACCCUUAGUUAGCUGUCUUACUGGAGUAUAACUGGUCUUGCUGAUGCUGCCCCCUUUCACUCCUUAGUCCCAAGUGGUCCCAGGUAUGGUCCAGCUAUGCCUCAGGAGUGCAGAGGUUCAGGGUUAAGGCACAGGAGAGGCAAGCAGUGUUUCUUUCGUGAGUGGGCUAUGAGAGGGAGGGACAAGGAAAGGGCAGACCUCCAAUGUAUACAGUUCUUCUGCACCAUUAAUUAUGCUGAGGAACAGACAGUUAUUGUUAUUUAAACAGCAACUCAGAACUGACUUAGCUCGUUUUGAUCUUCAGCAUCUAGUUAUCUAAUAUUUGAGGUACAGUAUCGUAUUACCAUCAUAAGCUUCAUUCAUCUUCUAUCUAGAUCUGAGCUUCGCAGAUGAAACACCAGAAUAAUUAAACAAGACAUGAAAAGCAAAGAUGAAGUGAAGCAAAGAUGGAAUAAAAGAGCAGAUGGCCCUUUAUUGCUGAAACA